CAGCAUCCCCCUGUGACCGCCUCCAUGUCCUCUUUCCCACACGGGCAGCAUCAGUUGGAGUUUUUUGGACCAGCAGCAUUUGUUAAAGAGCCCAGGUGUCUGGGGGAUGAACAGGCCUUAGAGAGCUCCUGGCCUGGCAAGUCUCCAGGGGCCAACAGCAUCACAGUCACCUGAGCCACUGGUACUGAAAUGGCUGUGGUUUUGAUCAGCGGGGAAUACAGUCCUAGAGGGAUCUGAUAAAUCCCCUAACCUAGACCUGCUCAGAGUGGAGCCCUAGAAUUUGCACUGUUACCAAGAACCUCUGACUACCCCAAGGCAGUCACUAUAUAUCUCAUCACCCUGUUUCCUUCUGUCAUCGCCAAGUUUCCUUACUACAGUCUUAUCUUAAGGGCCAGACUGCUUGAGUUAAAAUCCUGGCCCUACUACUUACUAGCUGUGAGUCCUUGUGCAAGUUAGAUAGCUUUUCUGUGCCUCAGUUCCAUUAUCUAUAAAAUGGGGAUAAGGUACCUAAAGCAUAGAGUGGAUUUAAAAAUUAAAAGAGUUCACGCAGAAAAAUACUAAGAACAGUGUCUAGCACAUGGCAGACCCUCCAUAUACAACCUUAAUAAUAUUAUUAUUUAAUUACUUACUUGCUUCUUGCCUGUCUUCCUCCUAGAAUGUAAGCUCCAGAAUAAUGUGAACCAUACCUAUCCUGUUCAGCAUUGUAUCCCCAGUGUGCCUACCAAAAUCCAGGCACAGAGUAAGUUGCCUAAAAUAUUUGUUGGAUGGAUGGAUGGAUGGAUGGAUGGAUGGAUG
rnacentral:lncRNA from 10 species